rnacentral:rRNA from 1 species
CCCCUAGAUGUUCUGGGCCGCACGCGCGCUACACUGAACAGUUCAACAAGUCUUAACCUUGGCCGAUAGGUCUGGGUAAUCUUUGAACGCUGUUCGUGAUUGGGAUAGACCUUUGCAAUUAUGGGUCUUCAACGAGGAAUUCCUAGUAAACGCAAGUCAUCAGCUUGCAUUGAUUACGUCCCUGCCCUUUGUACACACCGCCCGUCGCACCUACCGAUUGAAUGGUCCGGUGAAAUCUCGGGACGGCGGCUUGGUCGCUUGCGUCCGACUGCUAAAACUUGAUUAAACCAUAUCAUUUAGAGGAAGGUGAAGUCGUAACA